UGGGGAAUAUUGCACAAUGGGCGAAAGCCUGAUGCAGCAACGCCGCGUGCGGGAUGACGGCCUUCGGGUUGUAAACCGCUUUCACCCAUGACGAAGCGAGAGUGACGGUAGUGGGAGAAGAAGCACCGGCCAACUACGUGCCAGCAGCCGCGGUGAUACGUAGGGUGCGAGCGUUGUCCGGAAUUAUUGGGCGUAAAGGGCUUGUAGGCGGUUAGUCGCGUCGGAAGUGAAAACUCGAAGCUUAACUUCGAGCCUGCUUCCGAUACGGGCUGACUAGAGGGAUGCAGGGGAGAACGGAAUUCCUGGUGGAGCGGUGGAAUGCGCAGAUAUCAGGAGGAACACCGGUGGCGAAGGCGGUUCUCUGGGCAUUACCUGACGCUGAGAAGCGAAAGCGUGGGGAGCAAACA
rnacentral:rRNA from 1 species